rnacentral:rRNA from 1 species
CCUACGGGCGGCAGCAGUGGGGAAUAUUGGGCAAUGGGCGCAAGCCUGACCCAGCAACGCCGCGUGAAGGAAGAAGGCUUUCGGGUUGUAAACUUCUUUUCUCAGGGACGAAGCAAGUGACGGUACCGGAGGAAUAAGCCACGGCUAACUACGUGCCACCAGCCGCGGUAAUACGUAGGUGGCAAGCGUUAUCCGGAUUUACUGGGUGUAAAGGGCGUGUAGGCGGGAAAGCAAGUCAGAUGUGAAAACCCUGGGCUCAACCUGUGGCCUGCAUUUGAAACUGUUUUUCUUGAGUACUGGAGAGGCAGCUGGACUUCCUAGUGUAGCGGUGAAAUGCGUAGAUAUUAGGAGGAACACCAGUGGCGAGGGCGGUCUGCUGGACAGCAACUGACGCUGAGGCGCGAACGCGUGGGGAGCAAACAGGAUUAGAUACCCGGGUAGUC